rnacentral:rRNA from 1 species
UACGUAGGGGGGCUAGCGUUGUCCGGAAUCAUUGGGCGUAAAGAGCGUGUAGGCGGUCCGGUAAGUCCGCUGUGAAAGUCGGGGGCUCAACCCUCGAAUGCCGGUGGAUACUGUCGGGCUAGAGUGCGGAAGAGGCGAGUGGAAUUCCCGGUGUAGCGGUGAAAUGCGCAGAUAUCGGGAGGAACACCUAUGGCGAAGGCAGCUCGCUGGGACGUUACUGACGCUGAGACGCGAAAGCGUGGGGAGCAAACAGG